UACUUGGUGGUCCAAUGGUUAGGACCUGGUGGUUUCACUGGUAAGGGCCCAGGUUCAAUUCCUGGUCAGGGAA
rnacentral:tRNA from 1 species